AGACAAAAAGUCAUCGUAGGGCUUUGCUUACUUUAGUUUGAGAUUGAAGCCUUUUCUGUUUCCCGUUCUCAGAAACUCCAUUUACCAAAAGCCAACUUCAUCUCUUCAUCUCUAUUUCUUCUGCAGAUCUCACUAAAAUUCAUGAAAGUCACGGGUAUGCACCAAAUCGGAGAUCAGAUGUCCUUUGCUUUAAUCUUCGCCAGGCCGCUUGGAUAUGUUUGCAAUCGGUGCAGAUCAAUCGAAACAAUUAAAUCAUCAAAAACAGAGCUUGGCAGAGUCAGAUCUGCAAUAUAAGAGAACUUUGGAUUGGUUACAACAAUCAAAGAGUCUCCUCUGUUUUUGUUAAUUUUUCUAUCAUUCCUGUGGAUACAAGUUGUGUCAUAAUUAUAAUCAUGAUGUAGGUUUGGUGCUUGGUUGUGUCUCUUUAUCCUCUUAUUUUAGUUUGAGGGUAGAGUUUUAAUUAUAUUAACAAAAGUUGUAAUACAAUAUCAUGCAAUACAGGUUGAAACUGGACACACAGUUAUUGUUCAUGCUGCAGUGGGAUUGACGAGAUACAGUGAAAGAUGCCUUGUCAUGUUUGAUGAACUUAUCUAAAUAAUUAAAAAUGUCAGGGUUAGGAAAGGCUAACCAGUCCAAGAAUUCUUUGCAGCUGAAUGAUUGUAGAAGAUCGUCAGAGGUUAGAUACUUUUCCUAUUCUUUGCCAAUGUUAAAUAAUUGAGUUCUUACUCUUUUACUUUGUGAUUAGCUUGAGUAAUUUUGACCUGGCAAUAUUUUGAUCACUUUGGAUCUGGAGCUCAGGUGAAUAUGAAAGGCCUGCAUCUGGUCUCCUCUCCAUCCAUGAAUUCCUUUUAAGGUUAAUGGAUGGAAGACCCAGAAAGGGCCUUAACCUGAGAUUACUUUUUCUGCCAAGCCUUUUAGAACUGUUUCUGGAUCCAAUGUGCAACAUCAAUUUCACAACAGGACUGUUGCAAAUAAAAUAACUAAAUUGAAGUGUCCAACAACUCUUCCCGUUAUAGCUCCAUUACUUGCAACGAUUCCUCUGCUGUUAUGUCAAAAGGAUCUAAUGCUGCUAAUCCAUCUGCUAUGUUCAUCUAUUAUGCCGAAUAAGACAAGGCUACAAAGGGAAAUUCAUGAAAGGAGGCAAGAAGGAAGGGAAAACAUAAAAAGAAGCAUUUGUGUGAUGUUGGCUCCAAAGAGUCAGAAGUUUGUAAGAGUAUACCCAUGGAAGUUAAGCAUCUGAAAUCUGUGGUGACAAUGACUUGAACUCUGGAUCACAUGCAAUGUUACCAGAAGUUUCGCCAUUCGAUAGUUUGCUUAAUAUAAUUGAUUUUGCAGGCAGCAGCAAUGGUUCAGAAGUUCCCUAGGGAGCAUCAUACAGAUAACUCUGAAAUUGUUAGCGAAGACCAAUGACUUUCUAUAGGUGGAGAGGAGACAUCCUUCACAUAUGGGUUUUCUUAUAGAUUUACAUGAGAAGGAUUUCUAUGAUGUGCGUGAUACCUAGUGUUGGACUCAGUUUCUGUUGGUUCAAACAGUGAAGACGGUAUUGGUGCUGGUCAUAUUGUUAAUCCAUUUAAUGACAACAGCAAUGAAACCUGUCAAUCAGAUUUACCAGGUUCCAAUACCAAGAAGGGGUCCCAUUGUCAAAACUCGUUAUGUAUAUUUCAAUACCAAGAAGGGUCCUAUUAUCAAACCUUAUUAUGUAGCAUUUCAGAAACCCGUGAUUUUAGUGAGGGAACCCAGCAUGUUCUGGCUUGUAGCACAGCUUUGAUGGAUGAAUGGUUGCAUCAGGCAAGAGUGGUAAGCAGUGUAAAUCUAUUCAUGGAAGUUCAAGUACUUGCAAACUUGGAAGUAUAGAGAACUUGCAUGGUAGAACGCAUCAGGCAAGAGGGGUAAGCAGUGUAAAUCUAUUCAUGGGAGUUCAAAUACUUGCAAACUUGGAAGUAUAGGGAACUUGCAUAGUAGAAUGGGAACAGAGAACAGUCAUUCUGUUUGUCAAAGGGUUCAGAGAAUGCUGUAGAGUAAUGCAACACUGGGUUGAAUAAAACAAAUCCCAUUUGCUCACAGUUUGAUGUUACUUUAAAAGAUGAUCCAUUGCUGAAAAGAAAUUCUAAAGCUGCCAAUGUAAACCUUACCUAUUACUGAUGACAAGAGGAAGUUAAAAAAUAAGGUUCCUAGGAAUUUGAAAAGAAAAGUUAGUGCAGCUUCAAAACAAGAAAAAAACAGACAUUCCAGGAAGGAGUCUCAUCCCAACAAGGUAAACCUAAAUGCUUAUGAAAAGACUAGCAUGCCAAAAAGUGAAAUAUUAGAUGUUUAAACUUUUCAGGAUGACCAUGGAGUAAUUUAAAAUCUUUCAAGGUCUUAUUCUCAGCUUGGUUGUGAGGGUUCUGACCAUGAAAUCUAAAUCAGUUAAUGACUUUGAAGUUGGUCCAAGCAGCAUGGAACCAUGUGAAAAUGUCUGUGAUACUGCUUGUGGUUUUAAUAAUCUAAGUAUAGAGAUUCAAGACAGCUUACUGCAAAUGUGUCCCUUUGGACCAGUCAAAUUUGCUUAGGUGAGCACUCCAGUUUUUUGAGGUUUGUGAUACUGAUUCCACUUCAACAAACUCUACUAAUGUCAUUCAUCUUUCAAUAUUUUUAGAUUUUCAGUUCUUGUUCCAAAACCAAGCAUGACUGAACCAAUUAGAGGUUUGAAUUUGAUAUUAAAACAUCAAAGGUGCCUAAGAGAGAUCUAGAUACCUAUAUGGUUCUUCUAAUUUUGUCUUUCGUGUCUCCUUCCCCUUGGAGCAGCAGCUCCGGCAGCGGGAGGAGGUGGAUUUCUGGUGUUGGGAGGAAGAGGAUUUCCAGCAUCAUGAGCUGGAUUUUGCUGUUAAGAUGAGAGAUUCAGCUAAAGCUUUCAAAUCAAACCUAAGAACUGAAAUCAAAUGCUAAAAAAAUACAUAAGAGGAGAGAUUUGGUUAAAGCUUUCGAAUUCAGUUAAAGCUAGAAGAAAAUAACCGUUCUUAGGUAUAACAAAGUCGAAGUUCAAGCUAAAGAGAUGUAUUUCUUGCACUUCGACUUUGCUAUACCUAAGGACGAUUAUUUUCUUUUAGCUUUAACCGAAUUCGAAAGCUUUAACUGGAUCUUUCUUUUGAUGUAUUUCUUUUAGCAUUUGAUUUGGGUUCUUUAUAAUUACCUUUAUUUUCUUAAAGUUGUUUCAUGUUUUAAAGCUCAUACGUGAAUAUCUGUGGUUAUUUGUUGCUAUUUGUGGUUGACGGAUAGGCUUGUUGACUGGCGUGAAUAACCUAUACAGAACAUCACAAUGGUCUUAAGCACCAUAAACAUGAAGCCAACUGAAGAAGAUAAUUGUAUUUGUAAAGAUCAAUAGCUAUUAUGAUGAAAGGAUGCUUCAUAGGUUGCCACAUGUUUAAUGUCAGAGCGUUGCUUCGACAAUUGGAGAUUGUUGCACCUGUGUCUGAUAAAAUAUGUAAACUAUAUGGUUUAUAGUUUGGAAAAUAAAAAUAUCCUUCAACAAAGGUAUAAUGCCUUUCUUUAGGCUUGUUUGAAAAUUGAACAAUUUCAGGCUUUAUUUUGAAAUUGUUAAUAAAAUAAAAACUCUUAAUUUCAUCAACUUGAGAUUUGCGAGAAGAAGAAGAGAUAUUAGAGUUUAAAACAGAAUUUACUUAUUGAAAAUAAGUUUGUUGUGAUUGGUUAUCACUUGUGUCUCCUGUAAAAAUAGGAAUUUGAUUACUUGUACUGUUUGUACGUGAAAAUCUUGUACUUCUAAUGCCGGAGGGAGUUUGAAAUCCUGCAAAAUAAUUUCUUUGUAGAGUAUAAAAAAUUGAUUACUAGUUAUAAUAUGUGUCUUCAUUGUCUUGUUGUUAAAAAACAUUUAAA